UGCUGUUGGUGAUGACUUUUAAAAUAAAACAGAUGGGAAUCUCUCUGAAAAAAUGUGAAGAUUAAUUUUGAACUGAAACAGUA
rnacentral:snoRNA from 1 species